rnacentral:rRNA from 1 species
CUUGGUGGUUUUUGCAGCAGGGGUACACCUGUACCCAUACCGAACACAGCAGUUAAGCCUGCUAGCGCCGAUGGUACUCGCAAGGGAAGAGUAGGUCGCCGCCAAGA